rnacentral:lncRNA from 1 species
AAAAUAACAAAGAACUGUGCAUAUGAGAAUGGUUAGAGCAGCCUUUUCAUCCUACUGAUAUCAAUACAAAUAAAGAGAUAUUUUGCCGCAACCGGUCCUGGCUUCAAAAAGAGCCAUAAAUGCCUGGUGGUUUUUUUUUUUUUUUUUUAAUCAUUUCUGACUUUUGGUUUUCAGAGCAUUUGAUCUCUCUUCCUUCUGUCUCUGGCAUCCUCUAUCACAAGCAUGAAGUGGAGAUUCAUGGAGCCCUCAGGCUAGUUCUUUGGUUUUCAGGGCCUCUGCUCCUGUGGUCACCUCUGCUCCUGAGGACUCAAGCUGAUGGAAGCCUUGACAUGUGCUCCCACCAUCUCCCUGGCAAGUGAACAAGGUGUGAUGACUCAUGGCUUGGCUCUCUAAAGUUCAACCUUCUAUAGGCAAACCGUCGGCCACAGACAGUUAUAUGGCCACCCUAAUUUCAAAAGAGAGAAGUACAGUCCCCCCGUGUGCUCACAGAGGCGAGAACUGUAAGUAUUUGUGAAGAGCCCUAGUGCCUACCAGCCCUUCCUUAAUCCUCCUUCACUUGGUACGAUGGCAGGACCCUCAGGGAGAAGUACUGCCUCUGAUGUCCCUUUCGGGUGGUCUGCCUGCCUUAUCUCUCUAAAAAUACUCCUGCCAUCUUAGACAGCAAAUGGGUAAUACAAAAUAAGAAGGUCUAUUUAUUACUUUUAGAAAACAAAAGGAAGAAGUAUGUAGUUGAGCAAAGGUUGAAUAAAAAUUGCAAAUUUUGUGUUUAGAG